UCAACUAGAUUUUUCUGCCUGGUUUCACUGCAGAUCACCUGGAAAAUUUCACUGCCCGUUUCUGAAGACCACAGAGCAUCCACAGCCAGUCAGCUCUCGGAGGUGACUAGCCACAGUAGAAGUUUCACAAUUGCCUGAAAUUCCUGCUCCAAGGAAGCUGUAAAAUUUGAGCUUUAAAUAGCAAUGGAGAUGCCAAGCCUCAAGAGAGAUAUUACAUUCAUAUAGAUUGUGUGGCAGAAUCCUGGCUUUAUAAUGACCAACACUUACUGCUCUGACAACAUGACUCAAGGGACCCCCAGGACAGCAGACGCCCUUCAGAAUCUACUAUUUAAUGAACGUGACAGUUUACGUAGCCAGCUAUGGAGAAAGCAUCAUGUGCCCAGCCAGGCCAAGCCGGGCCGACUCAGCUCUCUGUGGUCCUUCAGAUGGAGCUUACAGGUUGGAAUCGCCAAACUCACCUCAGCAGUGAGUCUCCGUCUCCAGGGUACUCUGCAUCCCUGCGCCUAAAUGAUGGGCUGCAAGUGUCAGCAGAAGCUGUGAGAGGUACAUAUCGGAGACUAUAUAACACCCCUGAGGGAGUUUUCCAGGCUUACACUUGAGGCGCCAGACUCCUAUCCUUCAGAGUAGGUACUUGACACGCUUCGUUACCUGAUUAAACCUGCAUGUGUUUUGUUCUGGCUUAUUACUGUCUGAGGCACUGUGUUGUGAAAUGAAAAUUACUGGCAUUUCCCUGCCAAAUUCAGUGAUUCAGAGAAUUAUGAAUUAGGAUUCUUUAAUUAUGGAGAUCAGCACCCGAUAGGCUAAUUCCAAAAGCAAAGUUAACCACAUAUGCUCAAUUUGUUUUUAACUAAUUCUAUCGAAUUACAUUCCAUUUAAAGGGUCUUAUUGGUCCCAUAUUAAUAAACAGCUUCAUAACAAGGAAACGAGGAACAAUUAACCAAGUGUUUUGUGGAGACUCACCUGAGCCAGAUAAUGGGAACAUGAGGUUUUUAAUGCAAUAAAAUUCAAACCGUGAUGCUUCCUUUAGGAUGUUCCUUUCGUAAAUUGUUAUUUGCUAUUAUUAUUCUAUACAAUGCUUCAAAAAUA